CGCCUCUUGUGAAUCAUAAGAGGUCCAGCCUGCCCAGUGACCUUGUUCAACGGCCGCGGUAUCCUAACCGUGCGAAGGUAGCGUAAUCAUUUGUCCUUUAAAUGCGGACUAGUAUGAAUGGCACCACGAAGGUUGCACUGUCUCCUCCCUCUAAUCAGUGAAACUAAUUUCCUCGUGAAGAAGCGAGGAUGCCUCUAUAAGACGAGAAGACCCUAUGGAGCUUUAAACAAAGCAACAUUUGCUAUUAAACAUCAAUUUAAGAAGAUUAACAUAUAUGCUAACAUAAUGACUGCCAGUUUUAGGUUGGGGCGACCGCGGAGCAAAAAUUAACCUCCACGUUGAAACGGGGCUUCCUUUAAGCAAAAAUCCACAACUUUAUGCAUCAAUAAAUUGACAUUAAUUGACCCAAUAUUUUGAUCAACGAACCAAGUUACCCUAGGGAUAACAGCGCAAUCCAUUUCAAGAGCCCCUAUCGACAAAUGGGUUUACGACCUCGAUGUUGGAUCAGGACAUCCUAAUGGUGCAGCCGCCAUUAAAGGUUCGUUUGUUCAACGAUUAAAGUCCU
rnacentral:rRNA from 1 species